CACACGUAAUUACUCAUUUGUGGCCCCUUACAUUCUUUCUUCUUCGCUGUCGACGCCGACGCCAUCUCCGUACCCUCUUCACAAACGAAACGGCUCACAUCUCCUUCAAUCCGGCAUUAAUUCUGACCUUUUCCCUUGUGUAAUCAACCCCUCUCUUUAAAAUUACUCUCAGCCUCUUCGUUUCCAUUGAAACCGCCGCACUCUUCUACUAUAAAUAUGAGCCCAAUUCAUCAACUUGAGGUUUCUGCUGAUGAAAAGAGAGUGAUUGGCAAUAUCCGUGGAGAGGCUUGAUCAGUCUAACGACAGAAUCAGAGAGUAGAAAAACAAAACGGUGGAGACAAAAUAUCUUGGUGUAUCAGUUAUUCAAGAUACGUGCCAGCACCAACAAACUCUCCUUCACUCGCAUAGCAAGGGUGCAUGACCAUAUACCUUGCGUAUGUGAUUGUAGCUUCAUUGUGUGGAUGAGGAUGAGGUUUUCAAGUCUAUCACUUGCCCCCUUUGUUGUUCUUGGUGUGAUUUCCCACUUGCUGCAUAAAUGUCUAUAUGGUCCUCCUCCUUUGUACUACAACAGUUUCACCUUUUUUUUAAUCUUCUUCAAUGUGUUAAUGUCUCAAACUUUUUUCCUAGAAUGAAACUCUCUGUCUCCUUAACUACUCUCUGAUUCAGUUGCAUCUCUUGUGUUUCAAUAAAAAACAGUUGGGGAGAGAAAGUAUCAGCAACAAUAGACGCAGACAUAACUUUCAGAACAUAAAGCCAACAAUAAGAACAACAAAGGGAAAUGGGUCCACAGCAACAGAAUCGGAAGCAGCAUUAGUUGCUAAAAGACCUGACUCUGGUGGUUAACAAGGCUCUGUUAUACAUCUUCUCGCCAACCAUUUUUUGCCAAGUUUGAUCCUUCACUGAAGAUAUAACAUUACAACGUUGAGAUCUCUCCAAACCAGAUCUCUCCAAACCCUUCAAAGGAAAUUGCUCGGAUGAUUAAACAAAAACUCGUGGAGACUAUGCAGGGUAGCUUCUCUGGUGCUGUCCCUUUUUUUAAUGGUAGGAAAACAUUUACAGCCCUGUGGAGUUUCAAGAAGAUAGGCUUCAGUUCUUUGCUAACCUCCCUAUCCCAUCCUGCAAUACUUUGAUCAAGUGUGGUGACUAGCAUGAGAAGCUACCGCAGAAGAAGAUUGUUAAAUGUUUAGGGUUAACAUGAAGCUUACAUGAACAUUGCAUUGAAGGCUUUAUUUAAGAAAACCACUUUCUAUGAACUAAGACAUUUUCCUUAAAACCAUGUCACUGCUUUUAUAAGUUAAUUUUGUCCAGCUACUCUAUUACUACUCGGUUAUCAAUGUCAAGAAAUAUUUUUAUUAUAA